rnacentral:rRNA from 1 species
GAUGAACGCUGGCGGCGUGCCUAAUACAUGCAAGUCGAGCGAACGGACGAGAAGCUUGCUUCUCUGACGUUAGCGGCGGACGGGUGAGUAACACGUGGAUAACCUACCUAUAAGACUGGGAUAACUUCGGGAAACCGGAGCUAAUACCGGAUAAUAUUUUGAACCGCAUGGUUCAAAAGUGAAAGACGGUCUUGCUGUCACUUAUAGAUGGAUCCGCGCUGCAUUAGCUAGUUGGUAAGGUAACGGCUUACCAAGGCAACGAUGCAUAGCCGACCUGAGAGGGUGAUCGGCCACACUGGAACUGAGACACGGUCCAGACUCCUACGGGAGGCAGCAGUAGGGAAUCUUCCGCAAUGGGCGAAAGCCUGACGGAGCAACGCCACGUGAGUGAUGAAGGUCUUCGGAUCGUAAAACUCUGUUAUUAGGGAAGAACAUAUGUGUAAGUAACUGUGCACAUCUUGACGGUACCUAAUCAGAAAGCCACGGCUAACUACGUG